rnacentral:lncRNA from 10 species
UCCCAGCUACUCGGGAGGCUGAGGCAGGAGAAUCGCUUGAAUCCGGGAGACGGAGGUUGCAGUGAGCCGAGAACGCGCCACUACACUCCAGCCUGGACGACGAGAGUGAUACUCCGUCUCAGUCAAUCAAUCAAUCAAUCAAUCGUUUGAUUUUCGUUUUAUGCUUUUACUUCCAAAUUUAUAUUUAUUGCAAAAAAUGUGGAAUAUAACAAAGUGUAAAGGUGAAACUGAAAUAACCCGAAAUUAUAUUUCCCCCUCUGUGGUUUUUUUUUUUCCGUCUCUGUGUUUUUCAAUGUUUUUCAGGCCUUCUGUCUUGAGCUCGUAUUACUGCUGUUCACUGAUGUAUUGUAAAAGCGUAAAACCGGACGUGACCCAAAUGUCUAUCAAAGGAGACUGAUGAGAGAAAUAAACGGAUUUGUUCACACAACGGCUUCUACAGCAAAGAAACAGAAGGUAGCUCCAAGUGCUCUGAAAUGGAAAGGAGCCCUUGCCUUUACCACCCAUACCCCGCUACCCAUGUACCUCCCACUCCCCCAGAUUGAGGAGGGAGCUAGCUAAUAGGCAACUGAAGCACUGGAUUGGAACUGCAACUCAAGGUUGUGGGAGCAAGAGUUCUGAAGUGAAGACCUUGAUCAGCACAAACCUGAUCAUGUGACCUUGUGAAAGUUACUUCACAAUUCCCUGCUUC